CAGCCAGUAACGACACUGCCUC
rnacentral:miRNA from 1 species